rnacentral:rRNA from 1 species
GAUGAACGCUAGCUACAGGCUUAACACAUGCAAGUCGAGGGGCAGCACAGUGUAGUAAUACAUGGGUGGCGACCGGCGCACGGGUGCGUAACGCGUAUCCAACCUUCCAGUUACUCAGGGAUAGCCUUCCGAAAGGGAGAUUAAUACCUGAUGGUGUUCAAAUUCCGCAUGUUAUUUGAACUAAAGAUUUAUCGGUAACGGAUGGGGAUGCGUGACAUUAGGUAGAUGGCGGGGUAACGGCCCACCAUGCCUACGAUGUCUAGGGGUUCUGAGAGGAAGGUCCCCCACACUGGAACUGAGACACGGUCCAGACUCCUACGGGAGGCAGCAGUGAGGAAUAUUGGUCAAUGGUCGGAAGACUGAACCAGCCAAGUAGCGUGAAGGAUGAAGGUUCUAUGGAUUGUAAACUUCUUUUAUACGGGAAUAAAACGUCCCACGUGUGGGAUCUUGUAUGUACCGUAUGAAUAAGCAUCGGCUAACUCCGUGCCAGCCGCCGCCGUAAUAC